ACCACUGGGUUGAUAGGCCGGAUGUGUAAGCGAGGACUAACGACUCGUUCAGCUGACCGGUACUAAUAUGCCGAUAACUUCACCACA
rnacentral:rRNA from 1 species